UACAAUUGAUUGAACCACUUUGCAAAAAUUUCAAGAAUAGGAAAUAUGCAUCAUAAACAUAUCCAAAAAAUAUUAGAACUUAAAUUCAAAUUUUUGGGCUCCCUCUUCCUCCACUAGGACUAAAGUUUUACAGACAAGUCUAGCAUGCCAGACAGUGAGGUAUCAAGUGCCUUUUUACUUGAUGGUAAUAAUUUGGAGAAAGUAAAAGGGCAUACGGGCCAUUGAAAGUGGAAGGGUAGACCGAGGCCUUUGAGCAUUAGGCAUAGCCUCAAAUCCAUGGGAGUUGGUCAUCCGCCGGCAACGGCAUGCGAAGCUCUCUUGACCAUUCGGAAGGGCACAUUAAUCGUGGUGGCAACCUCCUUACCUGGAGGUUCCGAUGAAGCUUCCACUCGUCGC
rnacentral:lncRNA from 1 species